ensembl:lncRNA
GUGAUAUAUGAGAAGUUUGGCAAAGACAGCUGCUUCCCCAUCACAGUUAUGCUACUGAACCUUCAAGUGUGAGGUAACUUCCUGUUUCCGAAAGGUGUCGUGUUUCUUUCGAUUUCUGUCACUUGGCAAAGAGUUUUCAGGGUUUCUCCCAGCUAGAAGGAUCCUUACGUUACAUCAGUAGCGUGCACCGAGUGCAGUAACAUCUAUAGGUCAUCUCAGGCUGUGGUGAGGAAAGCAGCGCCUUUAUUUCAGGUGACUGUGAGAAGCUCCAGCUCCCCAGGUACGGGCCGCUUCCAGCCCGUAGGGCCUGAGCCCGACACCUGCGCUAGAGCUCGGCAGGCCUCUCCUGGAUGGACAGAGGCGGGUCCUCUGUGGGCGUCCGGACCCCAGCUCACCCACGCCUGCCUUCCGCUCAUCGCCGCCCACUCCCGGGCGUUUCUCCGGGAGGCCUGGGGUCCCGGGCCUCGGCGGCCUGCGGGUGAGCUGCCCUUCCUCUGGGAUCCCGGCGCAGGUGCUGCCCUCCACGGUGUUACGGUGCAUCAAGAAGUUCCUGACCAGAUGUUGAGCAGAUGCCUCUAGGGGCCCUCAAGCUUCUCAGCCUCCAGAAUUGACUUUGGUCAAGAAUACUCUUGGUGGAGAAAAGCAGCAGGGCCAGUUCCUCCUCAGCCCCAGUGGGCCAGCGUUGUGCUCCUCCUCCGGCGUGCCUACCGGAGACAGCCCUCACCCUUGGGGAAUCCCCUCAUUGAACUCCGAUUGCCUUCUCUCAAGAGGUAUUGAAGGACUGAAAUCAUUCUCCUUUCCUAAGCCAUGCGUGCAUGCUCAUUGCAGGAUGCUGUCCUCAUGGGAGACUUGGUGUGUAGAAAGCAAGACUGUUGUCCUUCUGAGUUCACUGUAACUGGGCAGAAGAUGAUGGCCUUUAGGGUUAGUGAUAGAAUCAAACUGACUUUAUUAAUAUUCAACACAUUGUAGAAUAUCAGUCUCAGUAUCUACUUUGUUUUAUAGAAUAUAUUAAUUUUUUGUAUUCUUAUGCAUUUUAAUUUGAGUUUGGUGUGAGAAUAAAUUAUCCUAAGUAUAUUUUCACAUGAUUAUUCUUUAAUAUUCUCUAUUUACUUUUCUACCUGUGAGGCCAGUAUGCAAAGAUUUAAAGGAAAAAUGGUGCAUGGAUAGACAGACAGACAGACAUAGUUAUUCUGUUGAGAGACCGUGCAACUCAGUGAUAUCCAGUAAUCUUGGAAGUCACAAACACAUAGGUUCCAGUCCUAAAUCCAGCACAUUACUACAUUGAUGCCCUCCAAGGGACCUAAGUUUAUACAUUUCAAUUUUGCCUUUUAAGGAAACAUCAUGGGAAAAUAUGUCUUUUUAUCAAAGACCACAUCAAAUAUGGCUUUCAGUGAAUAACAGUUGUGUUACUAUCAUUGUCUUUUGUGAGAUUAAAGGUACAACAUACGUAAAGUGCUGACCAUGGUGCGUGAGCAUUCUGGUGUGCCACUGCACAGUAGAGUGACUACAGAUAAUAAUAAAGUACUCUAUACCACAAAAAGCUAUAAAGAAUAAUUUAGAAUAUUUCAUCAAAGAUAUAGAUAUUUGAUGAGGUAGAUAUGCAUAACCUAAUUUAAAUAUUGCACAGUUUAUAUAUGCAUUGAAAUAUCAUGAUACCCCCUUAAUAUGGAAAUAUUUAUGUUACAGUUACAUUUAAUAAUUAAACCAUACAAAUAUACAAG